rnacentral:misc_RNA from 1 species
UAAAGAUGAAGUUACCAGUUUGUGUGAAGACCUUCUUGUCAUAACUUGGAUAUUUUACUCUAUGAUCCAGUUUCACUUCAUGCUUCAAGCAACUACGAGAGCAGUCAAAAUUACCAAUGGAGAAUUUUUCAGCCACCAUAGGUGUGCCACUUUCCAUGGGAGAAAAGAAUAGGCUUAUUGUGGUCAUUCGAUUCUCAUAUGAAAAUUACAUCAUUUCAUAUACUCUCCCGCGAAUGAUAUAAAUUCCACACGAAAAGUAUAUUUUUCAACAGUAAUUCCUAAAAAAGCAUGAGAAGAAAGAUUCCUGUGUUCUGGAUCAGUAUUAAAUCACUUUGGUUGGUAGAACUGAAGUUUCAGAAUUCUGAGAACAGGUGUGUCCGUUCCGUGCGUGUUGCUUGUUUGGUGUUUGGUUUUGAUCGUUGCAAAACGUUGCUUGGUCGUUUUAGUUACCUAUACUUGAAAACAAAUUCUUGUUUGGAAGUUUUUGAACAAUGUAUAAAUUCUUUUAAUUGAAUUCAAGUUGUAAUUUUAUAUUUAUACUCUACAAUCAUGUUGCCUAAUCGCGUAAAUCCGAUUCCGACUCCAAAUCCAAUGCUGAGUGACACCACUCAAAUGAACAUAAAGGAUAAAGAGAAAUACAUUGAAGAAUUUAAUUUCCCAUUUUGUGAUGAGGCUUCUAAGUACGAGAAAAUUGCAAAAAUCGGACAAGGAACCUUUGGGGAGGUUUUCAAAGCAAGAGAGAAGGCGAAUCCCAAAAAGAUUGUUGCCAUGAAGAAAGUUCUCAUGGAGAAUGAGAAGGAAGGUUUUCCUAUCACUGCUCUCAGAGAGAUACGUAUAUUGCAACUUCUAAAACAAGAAAAUGUUGUGAAUUUGAUUGAAAUUUGCAGAACAAAAGCGACUGAGUUCAACAAGUACCGUUCUACUUUUUACCUAGUUUUUGAGUUCUGUGAACACGACCUUGCCGGACUGUUAUCAAAUGUGCAGGUGAAAUUCAAUCUUGGAGAAAUAAAAAAAGUCAUGCAGCAACUACUGAACGGAUUGUACUACAUCCACAGUAACAAGAUUCUACAUCGUGACAUGAAGGCGGCCAACGUACUUAUUACCAAAACAGGAAUUCUUAAACUGGCAGAUUUUGGGUUGGCGCGAGCGUUCAGUGCAGCUAAGAAUGGCCAAGUUAAUAGAUACACUAACCGAGUGGUGACACUGUGGUACCGUCCGCCGGAACUGCUCUUGGGAGACCGCAACUAUGGGCCACCAGUGGACCUGUGGGGCGCCGGCUGCAUCAUGGCCGAGAUGUGGACCCGCAGUCCCAUCAUGCAGGGCAACACCGAGCAGCAGCAGCUGACGUUCAUCACACAGCUGUGUGGCUCCAUCUCACCCGAGGUGUGGCCUGGGGUCGAGGCCCUCGAACUCUACAACAAGAUGGAGCUGGCGCGUGGACAGAAGCGCAAGGUGAAAGACCGUCUGAGGCCCUAUGUGAAGGACCCCUUGGGUUGUGAUCUCAUCGACCAGCUUCUAGCGCUCGACCCAAGCAAGAGAUGUGACUCGGAUUCUGCCCUGAACCACGAUUUCUUCUGGACUGAUCCGAUGCCGUGCGACCUGAGCAAAAUGCUCGCUCAGCACACUCAGAGCAUGUUCGAGUAUCUGGCACCGCCGCGUCGUCCGGCAAACAUGCGCGCGCAUCACGCUGUACCCAGCGCCACACUCACCACACACGCACGUGUGUCCAGCUCGGCUACCACUGAUACCACUUAUCAGGAUAGGGUGUUCUAAGCACCUUUCCGUUUUUCAAAUACAGUAGAGUAUCGAUUAUCCGACCCUAAGUGAAUUUAUGUGUAUAUAUUUUAAAUGUGUUGAAUUUCAUUACAUGAUUGUAAGUCGAAUAAUAGGGGCAAUGUAUACACAACAAAUAUUUGAUUUCAAAUAUUUUUUUGUCUCUAUUUGAUAUCUAAAUGUGUACAGUCGCAUUACACAAUUGGAAUUCGAAUAAUAAUGGGAAUGAUUUUUCCAACUAAUAUUAUUUGAUUUCAAUUUUUUUCCAUUUUUAUAUAUGUUAAUGUGUACAAUCACAUUACACAAUUGAAAGUCGAAUAGAAAUGAUGUUUACAACUAAUAUAUUAUUUCAAAUAUUUUUUGUCUCUAUUUGAUAAAAUCUAACUGUGUACAAUCGCAUUACACAAUUGAAAGUCGAUUAAUAAUGGGAAUGAUGUUUCCAACCGAUCAUUAAUUUCAAUUUGAUUUUAUAUCUAAAUGUGUACACUCACAUCACACAAUUGGAAUUCGAAUAAUAAUGAAAAUGAUGUUUCCAACCGAUAUUUAAUUUCAAUUUUUUUUUCAAUUUGAUUUUAUAUCUAAAUGUGACUCACAUUACAAAAUUCAAAUUCGAAUAGGAUUGGAAAUGAUGUUUCCAACCAUUAUUUAAUUUCAAUUUUUUUCAAAUUUAUUUUAUAUCUAAAUGUGUACAAUUACAUUAGACAAUUGAAAGUCGAUAAUAAUGGGAAUGAUGUUCCCAACUAAUAUUUGAUUUCAAUUUUUUGUUUGAUUUUUAUAUCUAAAUGUGUGCAAUCACAUUACAAAUGAUACGGGUAAUGAAAUUAACAACUUUGAAAAAAUGUAAUCACGGAACCUAAGUUCCUCACUCUCCCUCUAGAAAAUUAUAGUCUGAGCGGGAGGAAAGUUCCUAUAUGCACGAUUUGCGUAUCAAUAUGUUGAAUAUUGAACAUUCAAACUUAUAAAUAAAAUAUGUUAAUAAGUUAAUGUAAAAUAAGUUAAUAGAAUGGCGGUUCACAGCCUGGGGUAGUGUAAUAAUGAUUAUAAUAAUAAUUAAUAAUUUUCUCACAAUAUAAUUUUACUAACAAGAAAUAUCGAAUAAUAAAUACUAGUCAGUCCUAAUAAUUUAUAAUCGUGGUUUCUAAGAUACUUAUACCAAACAUUCUACUUGAGUAAUGGAUAGGUUUGCAGAACCUUUGGGUACUCCAAAUUUAUUUGGUCUCAUUUCGGAAUGAUAAGUAUUUUUAAAUCUUUUUUCAUUCCUGUGUGUGCAAGAGAGGCAUAGCAAGUCAGAUAAAUGUUUCUAGCUGAGUGGGAUCCCAAAUGCGUAGAGUGGAUUCUUCGGAAAUUCUACACUGCAGCAAUUUUUUUCUGAAUGUUGCUCACAUGAACUGGAUGUUCUCUUAUCUAGAACUAGUCAGGGUAGCGGUUAGCGCAAGUGUAGUUACGACAAAAAUAGUGAUUGAUUAGUUGUCCAAGUUGUUGAAAUCUUCUUCAAUCAUUUAUCAAUUCUCAAUAAGCUGAGUUUUUUAUUUUGUUCUAGACUGCAUUUCUCUCCUUUCAAAAGACUGUUGGCACAAUAACAUCUGAAGUUCCUGUUUGUUGCCAGUUCUCUUAGAUCAUGUAUCGAUCUUUGUUUUUGCUGGCAACGUCUGUCAAAUUUAUUUGAGUAAAAUAUAUUUUAUGUUUGUAUAGCUUAUAUUAACAUUAAGUACAUCACUAGUGUUUUGUAUCAUGACAAAUGAGCUGAUGAGCAAAACUGUUUACGAACAGUAAGAAUGCUCAAACUCAUAAUGAAAUUACUUGUUGAGGAUUUAUAGUUUUGGUGAUAAGUUACCUUUCUAGAAUAUUUACCAAAGUUAUAAAGUUACCUGUAACAAGCUCAACGGUUAUGAUUAUUUGUGUGUCGUAUUCACGAAAAAAGGGUGUGAACCACCCUUAAAGUGAUUUAGAGUAGCGUGUUUGAGUAUUGUUUGCAAUAUUUGAAACUGUUGAAAAGUUAGUGAAUCUUUUCUUUUGACGGAUAUAACGGAGUCGGAUAAUCGAGAAUCUACUGUAUUAUAGAACUUCCACACAAGUUCAUAUUAUCAUACAAAUGCUAUUAAUCGUCUAUUUUUUACAUGAUAUAUUUCUGUAUUCUAGAACUAGAACUCUGUUAACCUCAAAUCAAGGUUAGCUGAAAUAAAAAAUAUAAAAAAAAAAAAAAAAAAGAGAUAAAUGUUGUUGUGAAUUUUUUAUAUAUUAUAUAUAUAUUUCUGUAAUCUAGAACUACCAGGCUCUGACAUACCCAAGCCUAGGAUGAUGACUGGAAAGAAAAACCAUUCAUAUUAUCAGCUAAAUAUAUUGAUGUUGGUGUUUUUAGUCCUAUCGAAUCAAUUUACUUAUUCUAUGUCUUAUCGAUGGUAAUGUUUCUGUAUGCCUAGGUUGACUGAAAAAAAAACAACUUAUCACAUUAAUGUUGAUGUAAUGUGAUGUAUACUUCUGUAAUCUAGCACUUCCAGACUCAGUCUCUCCCUAGCCUAGAAAGAAACAUUCAUAUUAUCAGUUUAUGUUAAUCAGAUAAAUGAUAUUAAUUCUCAAAUUUAGUGUUUUUUGUACUAUUAAUUAUUCUAUGUCUUUUCGUUUAUAAUGUUUUUGUAGGCCUAGGUUGGCUGGAAAUAGAAAAAAACAUAAUUAUUCUCAGAUGAAUGUUGGUGUCAAUGUUUUAUACUAUGAUAUUAUGUAAUCUAGAACUUCCAGGAUGGCUAAAAAGAAAACAUCCAUAAGUUAAUGUUAAUCAGCUAAAUGUUAUUAAUUUUGAACUAUUGAUAUUGGUGUUAAUCCUACUGGAUCAAUUCAACUAUUCUAUGUCUUAUCGUUUAUGUUUUUGUAUGCCCAGGUUGGCUGGUUGACAUCACAUGAAUAUUGAUGUCAAUGUUUUAUAUCAUUUAUGUAUUCUAGAACUACCAGGCUUUGUCACUCUCAAGCCUAGGAAAGAAAAAAUAUUCAUAUUAUUAAUCAGUUAAUGUUAAUCAGCUAAAUGAUAUUCUUAACGUUUGAUAUUGGUGUUUCUAUUCCUACAGAAUAAAUUGAAUUAUUCUUCGUGUCUCAUCUGUAUCUGUUUAUAAUAAGACAAUAAAUUACUUGAAUGUCA